UUAAAUUACAAAAAUUUAAUUUUAAUUUUCCCGAAGUAGAAUGAUCUAACUUAUUUAUUAGUUUUAGGCUAUAAAUUUUAAUGUAGCAUAAUUUAUGUGAAAAUUUUAAGUUAGGAGUGAAAGGCUUUUCAAUUUCUAUAGAUAACUGGAUUAAGGCAAAAUAUAUUUAGUAUAUUAAAAACAAAUGAAAAACUCUAAGAUUUUUCAUGGAGAAUAAAUUUAUUUUUUAGGUGUUUACAUUUAUUAAAAUAGCUGUAAUUAUUCUAGAUAAUUAUUAAUCUUUAUUUAUUUUUCUUUUUUAGCCUUAGAAUAAGUGUGUAAUAUAAAAUAUAGUUAAUAAUGUUUAAAUAAGUAUCUAAAUAAAAACGGCUAAAGGAACUCGGCAAAUAUCUUUUUCAACUGUUUAUCAAAAACAUAGCAAAUUGACUACAAUAAUUUGUUAAUUCUGCCCGGUGAAGGUGUUUUAACGGCCGCAGUACACUGACUGUGCAAAGGUAGCAUAAUAAAUUGGCUUUUAAUUGGAGUCGCGUAUGAAAGAAAUUAAUGGAAAAUAGCUGUCUUUGGCCGUUUUGUUAGAAUUUACUAAGAAAGUGCAAAUUCUUUCAACCUAUUUUAAUAGACGAGAAGACCCUAUAAAUUUAUCCCACAGAUACUUUAUUUUUAUUGUCGGUUUUGUUGGGGCAACAUUUUAACAAAUAAAUUUAAUUUAAUUUCUUUGCAUUCUAACGAGUAUUUACUAAUAAUAAAAAAAUUACUAUAGGGAUAACAGCAUAAUUUUUUUUGUAAGAUUGUGACCUCGAUGUUGGAUUAGGGUUCAGUUAAGUCAGCAAUUUAACUGACAGGUUCUGUUCGAACUUUCUUCCCU
rnacentral:rRNA from 1 species